rnacentral:lncRNA from 1 species
CAUUCAUUUAGUUAGUUCAUUUGGUUAAAGGGACGCUAUAGGAACCCACCCCACUUCAGCUCAUUGUAGUGAUCUGGAUGCAGUGUCCUAGUUCCCUUAACCCUGCAGUGGUAACUAUUGCAGUUUUUAAUAAAGGAAGCUAUAGUUCCAGGAAAACAACUUUUCCUGGCACUAAAGUUUCCCUUUAAUGCUCUGACUCCUGUACCUUUUCGGACUUCAGAGUUGCAGGUAUGAUUCUAGGGAGGAUUGUCUCUGAGACUGCAAUCAUGUGUAUCACUGAGUUGAGUAACUAACAUACAAUUAUCAGUCACAACAUCAAAACCACUAACAAGUGAAAUUAAUAACACUGAUUAUUAUACUGUUACAAUGGCAAAGGAUGGGAUAUAUUAAGCAGUAGGUGAACAGUUAGUUCUUGAAUUUCGUGUGUUGGAAGCAGGAAAAAUGGGCAAGAGAAAAGAUCUGAGCGACUUUGACAAGUACCAAAUAGUUAUGGCUAGAAUCAAAGCAUCUCCAAAAUGGCAAGUCUUGUGGGUUGUUCCCAGUAUGCAGUGGUUAGUACCUACCAAAAGUGGUGCAAGGAAGGACAACCAGUGAACCGGCAUCAGGGUCAUUGGCGCCCAAGGUUCAUUGAUGUAGCCGCAGACCAGUUAAAGUGCACAUGAUGACCCGUGUCCACCUUCAAAAGCUCCUUUAAUGUGGAUGUGAGCCUCAGAACUGGACUAUAGACCAAUGGAAGAAGGUUGCCUGGUCUAAUGUUUUCUUUUAGAUCAGGUGGAUGGCCAAGAACGUUGUUUACCUGGGGAAGAGAUGGCAGCAGGAUGCACAACGGGAAGAAAGCAGGUCGUUUUAUGCCCUGGGCAAUGUACUGCUGGGAAACCUUGGUUCCUGGCAUUCAGGUGGAUGUUACUUUGACACGUACUACCUACCUGAAGAUUACACACCGCAUGCACCCCUUUAUGUCAAAGGUGCCCGCUGAUGGCAGUGGCCUUUUUCAGCAUGAUAAUGUACCUCCCUAGACUGACAAGGAAGAGAGGACCUGACUGAUGCCUAAGUUAAGGGGUUGGGACCAAAAUGGAUACAUUUGUUGCUAGUUGAGAGAAGGGCUAAAAAGGUGGGAGGAGGGAGGGGACUCACCAGUUUGUCAGGAAACGUGUGGGGAUCCUAGCUUUGCCGCCCUCCCCUUUUCAGUUAUCAAUUGUUUGUUGUGUUUGGUUUUCUUCUCGUUUAGUCACAGCUUGCGGGAGUCCUGGCCACUGCAGUACAGUUGAAGAAAAUGCCGUGGCGGCUUGGGGAGUUGCAGCCUGCUGAGAGCUGAUGGCGGGGGCAGGCUACUCCGGACUCUUGGAUUAUUUCACGGUAGAGCUGUCUGUUGGGGAAGCAUCCCAGCAGCUGACAGGGUGGUUUGUUUGCUGGCAUUUGGUGUUUAAGUAAAUAAAGCUGUGGCCGUUGCCCUUACCCAACAAAUAUAGGUCUCAUGUGGUUUGAAUGGUUUGAAGAACAUGGCAAAAAAGUGCAAGGUGUUGCCUUCGCCUCCAAAUUCCCCAGAUCUUAAUCCAGUUGAACAUCAGUGGGACAACAAAACCGAUCCAAAGAGGCCCCACCUUUCAUCUUGUAGGACUUAAAGGGUCUAUUGCUAAUGUCUUGGUCUUGUGGAGUCCAUGCCUUGAUGCAUCAGAGCUGUUUUGGCAGCACGAGGGGGAUAUACAUAAUAUUAGGCAGGCAGUUUUAAUGUUGUGACUGAUCAGUGUAUAUUGACUGGCUGAGAAUUUGUUUAUUUUUCUAUGGAUUUCAUUUUAUUUAGCUAAUAAACAGAGCAAGACCUGCUUAAAUACAGGUGCAUAUGCUACAGAAUUGUACAAAAAACUAGGUAUUAUUGGUAACAGUUUUAAUGCCUAUUUGCUUGUUAUGGGAAUUUAUGUUACAAAUUGAUAAGUGAAACUGCAGUGAAUUUGGCUUAGAUUUUGGAGACACUUUUGACAGCUCAUUGCUAGCCAAUAUUAUAGUUUCUGAAUGUAAAGGGCUACUCUAAGUAUCACAACCACUACUGCUCAUUACAGUGGUUAUGCUGUUAUGG